CUGGACUGGAAUCGAGAGCAAGUUAAGAAGCACCCUAAGCAUCAACCAGUAUUGAGGCUGCAUUUUAUCAGGCAGUGCCCAAAGCAAGAGAGACAGUCCUUGUCCUUAAGAACUUACAGUCUAAACGAACACACAAUGAAUCCUUGGAUGAAAACCAUGUGGUCCUGCUGAUUUUCUGCACCUGAGAUGCUCAAGUUCCUCCAUUACUUCCUCCUUAGAGACUUCAGUUCUCAUCUAGGCCACAAUCAUAAUAAAUGCUUAUGGAGCAGACGUUUCUCCAGGCCCAUCUGCAAU